GAUGAAGAACGUAGCGAAAUGCGAUACGUAAUGCGAAUUGCAGAAUUCAGUGAAUCAUCAAAUCUUUGAACGCAAAUUGCGCUCUCGGGAUAGGCCUGAGAGCACGCCUCUUUGAGUAUCGAUUCCACCACCUCCAGAACAAUCUUUUUGGUUGACACUGGGAGUUUGAGUGUUAUUUAUCUUGACUGAUAAUCACUUGAAAUGGAAUGGAUAUUGAGGGGACUUAACUGAUCAAUACAGUUCUGAGUCUGUUUUCAUUGUUGAAUUUGAACGUGGAUAAUUGUCCAAUGUUUUAGAUUUGAUGAUGGAAAUUGCAUGAACUUGUGUGUUGGUCGACUUAGUCAAACCUCACCUAACUAAUUAAAAUCGAAAAGAUUAAGAAUUAGAUCUCAAAUGAAGCGAGACAACCCGCUGAACUUAAGCAUAUCAAAAGCGGAGGA
rnacentral:misc_RNA from 1 species